AGUCGUAACAAGGUUUCCGUAGGUGAACCUGCGGAAGGAUCAUUAACAAAUCGUAUGGGCGGGCUGGGGGGAGUAUAGGUUGUGGGUUGGUGUGCCUUUGUUUGGGCGCAUGGACUCGUGCCUCUCCCUCCCUCCCGCAUCAACAUAUUAACCCGAACCCGCGCAGCAAUGCCGGGCAAGGUGUGUGCCUUUUGGUGGUGGGGUGUGUGGGGUUUGGGGGUUGGUGGUGUGUGGGUUGGUUGAGGACCUUCGCGGGUCCCCUCCUACCACACACACACACCCCCCCUUCCCUACCCGCCGCCCCCCUAGAGAAGCACGCGGUGAGGACGAUGGGUGUGUCGCAAGAUGCGCCUUCGUCCGAUCCACAUAGACGCUUGUAUAUGUUUGACAGAGUUAGUUGACACUUAAAAUGACAACUUUUAACAAUGGAUCUCUUGGCUCUUGCAACGAUGAAGAACGCAGUGAAAUGCGAAACGUAAUGCGAUUUGCACGAAUCUGUGAGUCAUCAAGUCUUUGAACGCACCUUGCACCAUAUGAGUAAUUGUAUGGUAUACCUGUUUGAGAAUCGUAAACCUCCUCACCAUAUACAUGGUGNAUGUGUCGGCUUAUAUCCUUGUGGUAUAUUCGACUAANACAUUAGGUCUGGAUCAGGCUGGUGGNCUGGGACACUGUGUGCUAGAGACUAGCGCAGUCUUAACCGACUGAUCNNGUCUNCUCACGAUGCGUCCAAGCCUUCAAAGCUGGCUGCAAAGGACUACUGCGCAUAGCAUGUGAGUAGACUACGGUCUACUCCNNGCAUGGCANCUUUCUCUUUGAUCUCAAAUCAGGUAAGGCUACCCGCUGAACUUAAGCAUAUCAGUAAGNGAGAAAAGAAACUAACNNGGAUUCCCCUAGUAACGGCGAGCGAAGCGGGAAGAGUUCAAAUUUAAAAUCUGGGUGGGUCUCCUACUCCGAAUUGUAAUUUAAAGAGGCGUUAUCUGGGCUUAGCCUGGUGCUCAAGUCCCUUGGAAUAGGGCGUCACAGAGGGUGAGAACCCCGUCAGGGCACUGGUGCUAGGUCCUCUAUGAGGCGCUUUCUACGAGUCGAGUUGUUUGGGAAUGCAGCUCAAAAUGGGUGGUAAAUUUCAUCUAAGACUAAAUACUGGCAAGAGACCGAUAGCGAACAAGUACCGUGAGGGAAAGAUGAAAAGCACCUUGAAAAGGGAGUUAAAUAGUGCGUGAAAUUGUUAAAAGGGAAACGAUUGAGACCAGUAUUGCUGCUGGCCGCUCAGCGGUAUGCUUUGGCAUGACGUGUAUUCGGUCGGUAGCGAGUCAGCGUCAGUUUGGGCUCUCGGAGAGAGGUCAGGGGAAGAUGGGACUGGCCUUCGGGUCCGUCUUUUAUAGACCCUGGCUGGCACGAGGAGCCUGGACUGAGGUGUGCGGCUGCAGUACUCACAGCCCGAGCCCGGCCCCCAGGGGCAAGGACUACACGUAGGCCUUGACCGCAAGGGCAGGAAUUAUGGGUUGUGCAUGCAGUUCAAGGAUGCUGACGAAAUGGUCUUAAACGACC
rnacentral:rRNA from 1 species